rnacentral:rRNA from 1 species
CAGCAGCCGCGGGAAUACGUAGGGUGCAAGCGUUAAUCGGAAUUACUGGGCGUAAAGCGAGCGCAGACGGUUACUUAAGCAGGAUGUGAAAUCCCCGGGCUUAACCUGGGAACUGCGUUCUGAACUGGGUAGCUAGAGUAUGUCAGAGGGGGGUAGAAUUCCACGUGUAGCAGUGAAAUGCGUAGAGAUGUGGAGGAAUACCGAUGGCGAAGGCAGCCCCCUGGGAUAAUACUGACGUUCAUGCUCGAAAGUGUGGGUAUCAAACAGGAUUAGAUACCCCCGUAGUCCCUGUCUCUUAUAC